GCUGGUGUGGCGAAAUUGGUAAACGCGGUAGCUUCGCACGCUACUGGGCGAAAGCCCUUGCGGGUUCGACUCCCGUCACCAGCACCG
rnacentral:tRNA from 1 species